rnacentral:rRNA from 1 species
UGACGGGGUAUCCGGCCUGAGAGGGUGAACGGACACACUGGAACUGAGACACGGUCCAGACUCCUACGGGAGGCAGCAGUAGGGAAUAUUGCUCAAUGGGGGAAACCCUGAAGCAGCAACGCCGCGUGGAGGAUGAAGGUUUUAGGAUUGUAAACUCCUUUUGUUAGAGAAGAUAAUAGACGGUAUCUAACGAAUAAGCACCGGCUAACUCCGUGCCAGCAGCCGCGGUAAUACGGAGGGUGCAAGCGUUACUCGGAAUCACUGGGCGUAAAGAGCGCGUAGGCGGGAUAGUCAGUCAGGUGUGAAAUCCUAUGGCUUAACCAUAGAACUGCAUUUGAAACUACUAUUCUAGAGUGUGGGAGAGGUAGGUGGAA